AACUUUUGGCAAUGGAUCUCUUGGCUCUCGCAUCGAUGAAGAACGCAGCGAAAUGCGAUACGUAAUGUGAAUUGCAGAAUACAGUGAAUCAUCGAAUCUUUGAACGCACCUUGCGCCCCUUGGUAUUCCGAGGGGCACACCCGUUUGAGUGUCGUGAAUACUCUCAACCUUCUUGGUUUCUUUGACCACGAAGGCUUGGACUUUGGAGGUUUUUCUUGCUGGCCUCUUUAGAAGCCAGCUCCUCCUAAAUGAAUGGGUGGGGUCCGCUUUGCUGAUCCUCGACGUGAUAAGCAUUUCUUCUACGUCUCAGUGUCAGCUCGGAACCCGCUUACCAACCGUCUUUGGACAAAGACAAUGUUCGAGUUGCGACUCGACCUUACAAACCUUGACCUCAAAUCGGGUGAGACUACCCGCUGAACUUAAGCAUAUCAAUAAGCGGAGGCU
rnacentral:misc_RNA from 1 species